rnacentral:rRNA from 1 species
AACGAACGCUGGCGGCAUGCCUAACACAUGCAAGUCGAACGAGACCUUCGGGUCUAGUGGCGCACGGGUGCGUAACGCGUGGGAACCUGCCCUUAGGUUCGGAAUAACUCCCCGAAAGGGGUGCUAAUACCGGAUAAUGUCUUCGGACCAAAGAUUUAUCGCCUUUGGAUGGGCCCGCGUUGGAUUAGCUAGUUGGUAGGGUAAAAGCGUACCAAGGCGACGAUCCAUAGCUGGUCUGAGAGGAUGAGCAGCCACACUGGGACUGAGACACGGCCCAGACUCCUACGGGAGGCAGCAGUGGGGAAUACUGGAAAAUGGGCGAAAGCCUGAUGCAGCAAUGACGCGUGAGUGAUGAAGGCCUUAGGGUUGUAAAGCUCUUUUACCCGUGAUGAUAAUGACAGUACCGGGAGAAUAAGCUCCGGCUAACUCCGUG